UACGAAGGGGGCUAGCGUUGCUCGGAAUCACUGGGCGUAAAGCGCACGUAGGCGGCUUUGUAAGUUAGAGGUGAAAGCCCGGAGCUCAACUCCGGAACUGCCUUUAAGACUGCAUCGCUUGAAUCCAGGAGAGGUGAGUGGAAUUCCGAGUGUAGAGGUGAAAUUCGUAGAUAUUCGGAAGAACACCAGUGGCGAAGGCGGCUCACUGGACUGGUAUUGACGCUGAGGUGCGAAAGCGUGGGGAGCAAACAGG
rnacentral:rRNA from 1 species